rnacentral:lncRNA from 1 species
CAAACUUUCUCCUCGGUUGUUUAAAUUUCCUCUCAAUACACUCACUCACAUCCGGUAUUCUAACAAAGCCAUCUUUCGAUCAUCUUUCCUGUACCCUACAGAGCUGCUCCAGCCUGGACUAGUUUAUUUCUAGGCUGAGUACAUGGCUAUACUUGGAUCUCCCUUUGCCUUUAUCUCUGGGAUUUCCUUUGCUCUUUCUUGGAUUGACGUUCUCAUUUCCCAGACUCCAUGUCUUCCUCUUUCUUGCUUUGCCUCAUAAUUUUGGACUUACCUAGUAGCUUCUUCUUCUUUUUUUUUUUUUUCCUUUUUCACAUCAGAUGGGAAAUGUGCCAACGUCACAACAAGGUUUGAGGGAGGCACAUCUCAUGCUCGGACAUGAACACCCGAUCAUCAUGCUUAUGAACUACAAAAGGAUCUCCAGUAUGGGCUCACGGCAGUUGGCCCUUGAAUAACAUGAAUUUGAACUGCCUGAGUCUGCUAAUAUGUGGAUUAUCUUCUGCUUCUGCACCCUGAGACAGCAAGACCAACCCUUCCUCUUGCUUCUUUUCCUUAGCCUAUUCAACGUGAAGAUGACUAAGUUCACAGAGUUUGAGAGAAACUGUAUUCAAGUUGCUGAAACCAAGAAGCUACACUCACGAGUCUCACCUAAACUCGAAUCUGAUUUAGAUGACAUCAUCCUGGACUUUGAGUUGAUGAAACCUUGGAGGUCUUGGGAGUAAAGCAAGUGUGAUUUGCAUAUGAUGGAUAUGAAUUGUAAUGGCCAGAGCAUGGCUGUGGUAGGUAACAUCUAGAGAUGGCCACCAUUAUUUUUUUUUUCCUCUAUCCGCACAUACUACUUCUCCUGUACUCUUGAAACUGGGAUGAAAUUAGCAACUUUGUUAACCAAUAUAAUGUGCCACAGAAGUGACUUUUGCGACUUGUGAGGUUAGAUCUUAAGAAGUCUUGUAUCUUCUUUCUGGAUCACUUGGAAUGCUUACUACGGGAACCAAGCCACUGUUCUAUGAGAAGUGCAAGUCACAUGGAGAAACCAUGUUUUGGCAAGCUAGUCUGCAUCUUCAGAGAUGAAAACUCCCAUUUUAGGGAACCAAGACUGAAUUCCAUAAUUUACAUGGAUGUUUGGAAGGUGUCUGCAACUUAAUCUGUGUUCGUUUCUGAGAUGUUGGGCAACUCCUUCUUGGAAGAUGUGGUAAUGGUCUCUUCGAAAAGAAAAUAAUCAUCUGAGUUUUGGCCAAAAUAGUUGAUCGGAUUACCUAUGAAAAUGACUCUCACCCAACUACAAGAAUGUUAUGAUGUAGAAACUCUAAAUAUAUGAGUAAUUAACUAUACAACACUCCAUCCCCAUGUGAAAAUCUUUAAUCUUUUAAGAUACUGAAAUUUUGUGUAUGUCUCAUAAUUUUCUGUAUAUGGUCAAUGAGUUUUGCCUUAGCCAUAAGUGGUCUGUCUGAAAUCUUCUCUAUUAUUUGUGCAUUUUCUUCCUGAUGUACCAAGCCUAGUCUGUUUGUUUUUUCCUAAGAGAAAAGCAGAUGAUUCAACUGUGUAUUUCUCAGUGUUGAUAUUGUGGUUUGAGGUAUUUCAUAAUCUUGAGUAAAAUCUUGUCAAUUUUAUGCUAUGCCUUGUGGGAACAUAUUUUUACUUUUAAGUCUCUUUGGCAAGUGGAGCUUCCUUUGUGUUUCCUCACCAAAUGUAUUCCCCAUUGUUUUCUGAUUAAUUCUUUUUCAGAAUGUUUACUCCUUCUUACCUCAAUGUCAUUACUUUUCAGUCUUGGCUUUGGGUAAACCUAGGACAAGAAUUGGAUAUCCAAAGCCAAUUUCAAUAUAAAAACUAUAAUAUCUAUCAAAAUCUAUGUAAAAUCCUGUGUAUAUUUCUCUUCUUUGUUGAACAGGGGCUUAUAAUCAUGUAGGUAAAUACACGUGGUUUUGAUUUCAGCACUGAUUACUGAAGAUUUGUCUUCCAUUCUUCUGGGCCAGGCCCAUACACAACCAUAGUUAGAAGUAAAAACUAUUUGUUAUACCUGGAAUGCCUUUCCUUUCAAUCUCUGAAUGUCUAAAAUUACUUUUUCUUUGAAGACCACCUCAGGUGACCCUACUGUGGGGAAAAUGCCUGAAUUAUCUUUGUAAUCCCAGCUCAGCCACUUAAAGAUUGUGUAAGUUUAGUGUCAGCAUAUUACUUAAGUUCUUUUAGAUUUAGUUUCCUCAUAUGUAAGCUGGGGAUAAUAAUACCUACCUCAUAGAAAAUGAAUGAGAAUCAAGUUAUAUAAUAUAUGAACAACACUUGACACUGUGUGUGAACACUCAAUACAUGUAAAUCAUUAUUAUUAGCAAAAUGAUUAUUAGGUUCUCAUGCUAAUCCACAAUUUUUAUUGGCAGAUAUCCAUUAGUUUAUAGUUAAUGUUAUUCAUAAUCUUUUCUUCAUAUUCAAAUAGGAAGAGAUGACUUCUCAAUCUAGUUAAUCCUGGAUGUGUAUUUCUCUUAAUUUAUUGAGUGUAAAAUGCUUAUUUAUAUACAUACAAUUUCCCUUAUUAGUGAACAUCUAGAAGGCAGAAUGGUACUUCAUUUCUUUCUGUAUGUUUAGCACCAAGGACAGUACCUGGCACAUAGAAGAUACAUAUUAAAAACAAAUAAAACAACUCUUAAUGGAUCUCAUUUUAAAAAAAUUCUCGGUUAAUUAUAAAGGCUCUAGUAAACCAAAUAAUUGUAUGUUAACUUAUUUACUUUUAUUACUGUGUUUAUUUUCUCCAACUGCUUCAUCAUACAAAGUAAACACCUGAAUGUAAGCUGCAUGAGGGCAAGAGCUGUGUCUUGUUUACUGCUCUCAAGAACAUUUGAGCAAAGUGCCUGGCACAUGGCAGACACUCAAUAAGUUACAAUUAAUACUCAAUGUAUGAACUGAUCUAUACUUAGAAUUGACUAAGAAGAAUAAGUCUUACACAGACUCAGUCUCUGAGAACUUGAAAAUCUAAGUUUGCAUAUCUCUGCUGUUGUGUUUUCAGGUUACUCAGUAGAAAACCAAGUUAUUUACACAUCCUCAAGUGUCUCAAGGUUAAAUCUUCCAUGCAUAAAAUAUCUGGGCGAUUGAUUGUGUUUCUUACUUUGCUCCUAAGUAUGUUAGCAUCAUAUAGGCAUAGCCUAAGCCAGACCAAAAUGAAUUCAUUGAUUGACUCAACAAAUGUUUAUGGAUCUCAG